rnacentral:rRNA from 1 species
CAAUAGCGUAUAUUAAAGUUGUUGCAGUUAAAAAGCUCGUAGUUGGAUUUCUGGUGAGAUGGAUUAUGUCUAGGUCGAGAGAUCUUGUUCAUGGUUCGUUUUGCCCUUCUUGUCAGGAACCCGCUGAGAUUAACGUCUUGUCGGUGGAAUGGCAUCGUUUACUGUGAAAAAAUUAGAGUGUUCAAAGCAGGCAUCGCCGUUGAAUACAUUAGCAUGGAAUAAUAAGAUAAGACUUUGGUGGUCUAUUUUGUUGGUUUGCACGCCGAAGUAAUGAUUAAUAGGGAUAGUUGGGGGUAUUCGUAUUCUAUUGCUAGAGGUGAAAUUCUUAAAUUUAUGGAAGACGAACUACUGCGAAAGCAUUUACCAAGGAUGUUUNCAUUAA